rnacentral:rRNA from 1 species
GAUGAACGCUGGCGGCGUGCCUAAUACAUGCAAGUCGAGCGAACAGACGAGGAGCUUGCUCCUUUGACGUUAGCGGCGGACGGGUGAGUAACACGUGGGUAACCUACCUAUAAGACUGGGAUAACUUCGGGAAACCGGAGCUAAUACCGGAUAAUAUUUCGAACCGCAUGGUUCGAUAGUGAAAGAUGGCUUUGCUAUCACUUAUAGAUGGACCUGCGCCGUAUUAGCUAGUUGGUAAGGUAACGGCUUACCAAGGCAACGAUACGUAGCCGACCUGAGAGGGUGAUCGGCCACACUGGAACUGAGACACGGUCCAGACUCCUACGGGAGGCAGCAGUAGGGAAUCUUCCGCAAUGGGCGAAAGCCUGACGGAGCAACGCCGCGUGAGUGAUGAAGGUCUUCGGAUCGUAAAACUCUGUUAUUAGGGAAGAACAAACGUGUAAGUAACUGUGCACGUCUUGACGGUACCUAAACAGAAAGCCACGGCUAACUACGUG